GAUCCUGUAGCUCAGUGGUUAGACCGAUGGACUUACAAGCAAUAGGUCGUGGGUUCGAUCCCCGCCGGGACUA
rnacentral:tRNA from 1 species